GGUGGCUCAGUGGUAGAGUACUCGCCUUGCAUGCAUGAGGUCCUGGGUUCGAUUCCUCAGCACCA
rnacentral:tRNA from 1 species